rnacentral:rRNA from 1 species
AUUGCCCUAGUACGGCGAGUGAAGCGGCAACAGCUCAAAUUUGAAAGCUAGCCUUCGGGUUCGCAUUGUAAUUUGUAGAGGAUGAUUUGGGGAAGCCGCCUGUCUAAGUUCCUUGGAACAGGACGUCAUAGAGGGUGAGAAUCCCGUAUGUGACAGGAAAUGGCACCCUAUGUAAAUCUCCUUCGACGAGUCGAGUUGUUUGGGAAUGCAGCUCUAAAUGGGAGGUAAAUUUCUUCUAAAGCUAAAUAUUGGCGAGAGACCGAUAGCGCACAAGUAGAGUGAUCGAAAGAUGAAAAGCACUUUGGAAAGAGAGUUAAAAAGCACGUGAAAUUGUUGAAAGGGAAGCGCUUGCAAUCAGACUUGUUUAAACUGUUCGGCCGGUCUUCUGACCGGUUUACUCAGUUUGGACAGGCCAGCAUCAGUUUCGGCGGCCGGAUAAAGGCUCUGGGAAUGUGGCCUCCACUUCGGUGGAGGUGUUAUAGCCCAGGGUGUAAUACGGCCAGCCGGGACUGAGGUCCGCGCUUCGGCUAGGAUGCUGGCGUAAUGGUUGUAAGCGACCCGUCUUGAACCACGGGACCA